UGACGUCAGCUGAGACAGAUGCGCGU
rnacentral:piRNA from 1 species